CAGCUGGUGCUGCGGGAAACUGCGGAGAAUAGGGAAACAGGUGAAAGGCCUGUGCGAUCUCGUCACUGUAUACAGGAGCGGACUGCCAUGAAGUCACUGAGCAAUCGGGAAGGCGGCGGUGUGCGUAAAAAACUGUGAGCCAGGAGACCUGCCAGCUGUG
rnacentral:ncRNA from 1 species